rnacentral:rRNA from 1 species
CUGCCGUAUACUGGGGGAUAACACUUAGAAAUAGGUGCUAAUACCGCAUAAGCGCACAGCUUCGCAUGAAGUGGUGUGAAAAACUCUGGUGGUAUACGAUGGUUCCGCGUCUGAUUAGCUUGUUGGUGGGGUAAUGGCUCACCAAGGUGACGAUCAGUAGCCGGCCUGAGAGGGUGAACGGCCACAUUGGGACUGAGACACGGCCCAAACUCCUACGGGAGGCAGCAGUGGGGAAUAUUGCACAAUGGGGGAAACCCUGAUGCAGCGACGCCGCGUGAGUGAAGAAGUAUUUCGGUACGUAAAGCUCUAUCAGCAGGGAAGAAAAUGACGGUACCUGAUUAAGAAGCCCCGGCUAACUACGUGCCAGCAGCCGCGGUAAUACGUAGGGGGCAAGCGUUAUCCGGAUUUACUGGGUGUAAAGGGAGCGUAGACGGCAGCGCAAGUCUGAAGUGAAAUGCCGGGGCUUAACCCCGGAACUGCUUUGGAAACUGUGCAGCUAGAGUGCAGGAGAGGUAAGUGGAGUUCCUAGUGUAGCGGUGAAAUGCGUAGAUAUUAGGAGGAACACCAGUGGCGAAGGCGGCUUGCUGGACUGUAACUGACGUUGAGGCUCGAAAGCGUGGGGAGCAAACAGGAUUAGAUACCCUGGUAGUCCACGCUGUAAACGAUGA